rnacentral:lncRNA from 1 species
UUCCAAGUUCCAUUUACUUUCCUCUUCAAUUGUUUCAUUAUAGCUGCCAAAUUGUUACCGAUUCCAAUCUUCAAUUCCAUAUUUUCGAUCCCUGAACCCAAAUAGCCGAUCAAAUUGCAACUCGCAAACCUAAUUCCAAGAAGUUCAUAUGCUAUCUGGUUGGUAAAUGGAUUUGCAUGUGGAUUCAAUACUCAAUCUCUGUCUGAUCUGUCUUUGGGUAAGUAGUUCUGAUUUCUGAACUUCUCUGAUUCUCUGGAUUUCAGAUCUCUAAACACACUUAUCUAGAGGCGUUUUUUAGUUUUUGUGUUGUUAUUGUGACUCAUUCAAGUUGCUAUUGUGUUUCUGGAAUUGCUGCUGCUGCUCAUGUUAAUGGUUGGAGGAAGUUGCUGCUGUUGCAAUUUGUUUAAUUCUCUUUCAUAUUUCAGGUGCAAGACAAUGAUGUCUUUCUUUGGUUGUUUGGCUUUAAGGGCGAUAGAUUGAAUGUGUUUGAUGAUUCUGCGUUUUCUAAUAGGUUUGAUGAUGGAUUAAAUGUGUUGCAAAGUUGAUCAUCUUGUGGUUUGGGUUUGAUGCUUCUAUUGUGUUAUUUCAUUAUGUUUUUUUGUUUUUUUUAUUAUUUAAUGUGUGUUGCUCGGUAACCUGUACAAUAUAUACUUCCGGGCGGAAACUGGGGUCCAAUAUCCGUAUCCACCCAGUCCUC